UUUACCAUCACUUUACAGCCUGUAUUAUUCUGUGUCGUCUUGUUGUUGACCCCUUUAUUGAAUAUCCAUGCAAAAGUCCUGCACGCUUGCAAGAUAUUAAACUCUCUGCUUCUUUUGUUGACCUCAAAGAUAAAAAUAAGCAACAUUUUCAUUUAAAAACAUGUACAGAAGCUAACUUUGGGCAGCCAUGUUAAAAAAAAACAUCGGAUAAUAAUAACGAGUUUAAAGUCUUUAUGAUCCAACGGUGGACAGAAGCCCAUUAGAACGGAGGAGAGGGUCACUGUAAUGGAUGUAAUAACCGCUCUCAUCCCAUAAAAAACACUCCUCAAAUAAACCUGACGUCGCCUCCUAAAUAUGGAUGAGUCUGUCUGCGUGCUGUCAUUACGCUAACGUCUAAUAUCUCCCUGUCCUCGGCUGAAUAACCUAACAACACUCCGGCUCCGCAGACGCGCAGUUUAUCGUAAUUGAGGCUGAAUUUUGACGACUCCUCCGCAGGCCGGUCACUUCCAGGGGCGAUUGUUUUCGUAAUGAGCUCCACUCGGCUCUCCUUCUCAAUUAUGCUAAUGGAGGACGGAGCGGGAGGAUGGAAGACGGCGUGUUGGAGGGAGGAAGUAUAUUAAACCACGGAGGGGGGAGGCAAGGGGUGAAGACGACGUGGUCAAGAGAGGAGAGAGGACGGUACUCAGGCGGGAGGGAGGGAAGCUAUUUAAAGAGUCGGGGCAUGAAACUGGAUAACAAGAGUACAUUAAGGACGUUAUUGUGCUCCUAUGGGCGCUGUGGCCGCUAACACUGCAACGGCCAGAUGCAGAGGAAAUUAACUUCAGCACUUCUAAAGUUCCCCCUGCAGGUGCUCAGAGAGAAAAGUUAUCUCAGCCUCUGCACAGAAUUCAGACGAGCACAGAGAACAUCAAACGGUCCUCCUACAGGCCAACGCUCACCACACGGCUCACAGAGUGGACUUUCUAUGAAACCAUCCUGUCUGAUGCUAAUGAUGUAGAGAUGCUGCUACAGUCGCUGUUUAAAUAUUGAAAACAGACAGUGUGAAUUAUGUCUUUGAUAGUUUAUGACCUAUUAUUGAUGAAUAUGAAACAGAGAACUGUCAAAGAGAAGGUUUAGUUUAACUCAGAUUUUGUAUAAAAUGACAAAAACAUCUCUGAAAUGACUAAGAAUUUGUCCAAAAUGGCCCAAAACCUGUCCAAACUGUCUCAGUUUUGUCCAACAUAAUCAAUAAAUGUGUCCUAAAUUACUCAAAAUUUGGCUAAAAUGACAGAAACAUCUCUAAAAUGACUCCAAAUUUGUACAAAAUGACUGAAAAUGUAUCCAAAACUAUCAAAAUGUUCUCUAAAAUUACUCAAGUGAAAAGACUUCACAUUUUGCCUCCACCAAAUUUGUCCAAAAUGACCCAAAUCUAAUCUAAGACAACAAAAAAUGUCGCGAAAAUGACUCCAAAUUGUCCAGAUUGGCCCAAAAUCUGUCCAAAUUGAUUCAAUUUUUGUCCUAAAUCAUCAAAAAAAUUGUCCCAAAUUACUCAAAAUUUGGCUAGAAUGACAAACAUCUCUAAAAGGAUUCCAAAUUUGUCCAGAAUUACAAAAAAUGUAUCCAAAAUGAUUAAAAGGUUCUGGAAAAUGACUCAAGUGAAAAGACUUCAUGUUUUCCCUCAAAAAAAUAUGUCCAAAAUGACCCAAUUCUUGUCAAAAAUGACAAAAAUGUCUCCAAUUUGUCCAAAAUGGCCCCAAAUCUGUCCAAACAGACUACAUUUUUGUUGUAACUAUCAAAAAAUUUGUCCUUAAUUAUUUAAAAUUUGUCCAAAAUGACAAAAAAAAUUGUCCAAAAUUUAUAAAAUUGUAUCCAAAAAGAUCAAAAAUUUCUGUAAAAUGACUCAAGUGAAGGGAAGUCAAGUUUUCCCUCAACCAAAUUUGCCCAAAAUUCUUAUCAAAAAUGACAAAAAAAUGUCUUUGAAAUGACUCCAAAUGUGUCCAAAAACCCAUCCAGGUUGUUUCUGUGAUGCUAAAUGUGCAGAGAUGCUGCUAAAGUCGCUGUUUUAGCAGCAACUGUCAGGUGAAAAUGAGGAAACAAUCUGUAAACACAAUGAGUGAAUCAUGACUUUGAUAGUUUAUUACCUAUUAUUGAUGAAUAUGGAGCAGAAAAGUUUCAAAGAGAAGGUUUAGUUGAACUCAAAAUGUGUCUAAAAUGACAAAAAGCAUCUCUAAAUUAGUCAGAAACCACCACAUAAUGAGAUAAAUCAAUAAGCUUCCAACACGGUGACGUAAAAUGCUUCGUUAAUAGAAAAACAUUAUUGAAUCGGUGCUCAGAUUCCCAGAGAUAAGUUGUGAAAUGAGCACUGAGAGGAGUUUCCAGCUGAAAACUGUAAUAAUCUGCAGACAGAGAUGUAAACACCAGAGGCAGAGUGUUCCAACUAACCUGCAGUCGUUUCCACAAAACCAAUUUCAACGCGGGAAUUUGUCUUUCUAAUUACGACGGUAAUCACGCGUCGCUUUCCCCAACAAAGUCCAAACGCCUGUGACCUGAGAGAACACGGCUAACGAGCAGCCGUGAUGAAGCGAGGCCUUCCAGCGCUCGUUAGGAACGACACAAACUGCAGAGAGCUCUAAUUAACGGCACGGCUGCUGCAGCACGACGCAAGGAAACAGAAACCAUCGGGGUCCGCCAAAUGUGCACCUCAACGUCUUUUCCGUCUUUUGUCGUUUUGUGUCUUCUUUUUGUCAUCGUGUUUUGUUACUGUCGUUUUAUGUCUUGCUUUUGUCGUUUUCUGUUUCGUUUAUCAUUUUGUGUUUUGUUUUUGUCGUUUUGUGUCUUCUUUUUGUUGUUUUUUUGUCUUGUUUUGGUCAUUGUGUGUUUUGUUUUUGUCGUGUUUUAAAUCUGUCCAAACUGACUCAAUUUGUGUCCUAAAUAAUCAAAAAUGUGUCCUAAAUUACUCAAAAUUUGUCUAAAAUGACGAAAACGUCUCUAAAAUUACUCGGGCUGGACCUGAAUAUCCAAAUAUUCGGUUGUUGUGGUGGUAUCUGAAUAUUAAUUUUACGAUCCAAAUACUCAGCUUACCAAUUCUUGUUGAAAAUUACCAAAACGUCUUAAAGAUGACUCCUAAUUUGUACAAACUGGCCCACAACCUGUCCAAAUUGACGAACACAUCUUUAAAACAACCAAGAAUUUGUCCAAAAUUACUACAAAUGUACCCAAAAUUUUCAAAAAGUCAAGUUUUCAUUCAACCAAAUGUGUCCAUAAUGACUCAAUUCUUGUCUAAAAUGACAAAAAUGUCCCUUAAAUGACUACACAUUUGUCCAAAAUGGGGCAAAACCUGUCCAAACUGACUCAGUGUUUGUCCUAAGUUGUCAAAAAAAUGUCCUAAAUUUGUCUAAAAUGACAAAAACCUGUCUAAUAUGACUAAAAACUGAUUUUAAAUUGUUCAAAAUUAGUCUAAAAUGACUAAAAAUGUAUCCAAAACGAUUAAAAAGUUUUGUAAAAUGACAAGUGCAGAGCAGUCAAGGUUUCCCAUAACCAGUUUUGUCAAAAUGACCCAAAACCUGUCCAAACUGAUUGAAUUUCUGUCCUAAAUGACUUAAAAUUUGUCUAAAAUGACUAAGAAUGUGUGCUAAUUUUGUCCUCCUGUUCUGGACUGACCCAUAUAGCCUGCAGUUUGAGACGGCGACACUAGAGGUGCAGCGAGUUCCUGGGAGUUGGACGGACGGCAUCGAUCCGUCUCCAGGCUGCUCUCAGAUCGACAGUCUGAUCUCCAGCCGGGACCGCUCCGUGAACCGGGCUGUGGCAGGCCGUUAGAACACCGUUAAAUUAAAGCAGCUCGGAGACGGGCCUCGUGAAUAAAACAGCAGCCCACUCCCCCGCUCAGGACUGAGUCACGCUGGGCGUAGGUGGACGGUCCCUGCAGACUCUCCCAUAAACACAGCUCCCCUCCCUGCUGAGUGAACCUCUGCAGUGUGUUGUGGGUAAACGUGGCGUGGUGCUUUCUGACCUUCUUGUGUGCGCUGAAGAUCCUCCUGAAGGUGUCCGGGUUCUUCUCGGCCGGCUUGCCCUGAGGCGGCCUCCUGGGACCGCUGGCCACCAUCCUCAGUCCUUCCUCUGAGAAGUCCAGGACGUCUGCAGACAAAAACGGACAAACGCAUCAAACGGGACGUUCCAGUCAGGCAGCUUCACCGCACUGGGAUUACUGGGAGCCAGAUUAUCUUGUGGAGACAUGACUGCACCCUGCAGUUGUUCUUUCUUUGCUUCUGAAUCAUUUUCUCUUCUGCAAUAGUCGACGUUUAAACAAGAGUUAUGUCUUAACCCUCGUGUCGUCCUGCAGGUCAAAUUAACCCGUUUUAAAGUUUGAACAUGUGGGACAAAAUAUGUUUUUAUCGUGAAUCUUCUGAUGUCCACAUUUUCAUCAUUUUUGGGAAAUUUUUGAACAUUUUUAGUGAAAAAAGAGAUGUUUAAAAAGAUGUUUCUUGAGAACAUUCAAAAAAAAAUUUGACCAAAAGCCAGCGAAUUUUGCUGGAUUUCAGUAGAUUGUUUUGUGAAUGUUCUUAAAGAAAAUAUUAGAAUAUAUAUAUAUAUAUAUAAAACUUUAGAUUUUUUAGGAUUUUUUUUGAAGAUUUUUACUCAUUUUUUGAAAAUAUUUACAAGAACUGUCUUGCCAAAUUUGUUUGUCUUUUUUAAAUUAAACUUUUAAGGGAUUUUUUCAAGGAAACUUUGAAUUUUCUUCCUGAAGAUUUUGCAAAUUUUCAGAAAUUUGGGGAAUUUGGGGAUUUUUUUUCAGACAAGGAAACAAUAUUUUUUUGGUGCCAGUAGAUGAAGACAACAGAAGGGUUAACUACGACAGUAAAUUGUUUAAAAGUGCAACAAACUUCUACAAAUAUACUUGAAAAUACAGAAACUGCAUAGCUGUAUCCCUUAAAUUUGUUAAAAAAAAAGUUACACAACAUCCUGUGGACUGGUUUAUAAAGAUUUUUGUUAUGUGUGCUUUAUUGUGUAUUUUUACAAACCCAUCACUGCAACCAAAAAGUGUUCUGAGACCUGGUGAAUGUGUGACAUGUUCAUGGAACUCCUCAUAUUUUAUGUGUAAAAAGAAUGAUGGAUCUGCCUGGUCUGGUUUUAGAUCUACGGCCAAUCAGACAUGAGUAUGCAGUCAUAGUGGAGGGUUAAAAUCAAACUGCUCUGAAGCCAACUAUAGAUUCUGGAUGCUUUAUUUUAAGUUGUAAUCUUCCAAAUACUGUAAAAUGAAGCGGUUUGUGUGCUUGUGGCCUCCUGGUUUAACACCACUCUGAGGAUGAGCUCACAGGAACUGAAGCUGGAAACAGGGCGAGUGUUUGUUGUCAGUGUGGGUUCUGCUCUACGCUGGUGAGGAUAUCAGUGCCAGUGUGUGGGCUUUGUUUACAUGUACACACAAACACAAAGAACAUGACCCCUGCUCAUGUGUGCAACCAGAAACACAGCCCAGCUCCUCCGGCAGCCUCGUCACACUGAAUGGAGGACGUGGCUCCAGUGGAACCAGUUCGUCCAACACGUGAUGAAAGGCUCGGCUUCAGGAGGAAUGAAAAGUAUUUUAUCAGUACUGAACCUGUUCAUCAAAACCUUCUCAGAUCUGUUUAGAUUUAAUGGUUUAUGUUUCUUGUUCUGUGUUUGUUGGGUUGUUUUUGUGGUGGAACUACCAGAACUACAGUCCAGUUCUGGUGGGGCACAUUCAGCCGACGCACACUAAUAAAAAUGAGCAACCCGUGCUUGAA